UGAGGUUCCUCUUGGCGCUGAAGGAACAGGAGGGCAAAGGACUCCACCCCAACGUCAUCUGGUGGGGGGCGGUCUGCGUCUCAUGACAGAUUCAAGCCUUCCCACACGCCUGUGUUCUGUGAGAGGUAAGGCUGGGAUUUGGUGCAGAGAGUAAGCCAUGGAAUCUAGGCCCAGGCUGACGAAGAACACUUCCUACAGGUGCAGAGAACAACAACUGAGGUCCCGCAGGACGUUGCCCAGGCGACUUGGAGAAAGCCUCUGGCUACCUGAGAACUAGUGAGAGAAAGCAGCUAAGGGCUUCCGCAAGUUUUUAAAACCUCCAUUCAAGCCACUGUCAAGGAUGGCCUCACAGGUGUCUGCUGAGCCCCUGUCACAGGAUGAGAGGCACGUUUCUCCGGAGAGCUUCCCCCAGUGGCGAUUCUUGGGGAACAUGGCAAAGCCUCGCUUCAUACCCUGGUCCUGAAACUAAAGAAACCCAUUCUUGCCAGAUUCUACCUAGAGACGUAAAGGAAAGAAGUAUGACAUGGCCAUUGGAUGGGCAAACAGCAUGUUGUGCAAAAGUGCAUAGUUGCGGCAUGAGAGCCUUACUCAAAAGUAUCUCUAAAGAACAGCGUGAAAGAGAAAUCCUCCCAGCGGGCAGGACUCUGAGCCAUUCACCUGACUAUUCACUUUGCCUGGAAGGAGACGUGGCAAGUGGCAUGCAGCUAGGGUGAUUCCUGGGCAGUGGGUGGUGCUUUGGCUAGUGGUCCAGGACUUGGAACAAACAAGGUUAGAGCAUCAGUGACAAGAACGUCUGGGGGAUGAGAUAUGUGGAUGGACAACUCAGAAUAGGCACAGAGUAUGAAUAUAUUAGUGCCCAUCUGAAUGCUACACAAAGGACGCCUAUUGAAGAAGGGGCUUUCAACGAUCAUGUGGCAACAAAACAUGAAUGCCUAACCUGCCAACAGCAGAAACUAAAUUCACACUCCUGAUAUGGCUCCAUUUUUUGGAAGGGACGGCAAUUUGUCCUCGCUACAAUUCUUCUGACAGCACUGCCUCGUGUGGAUUUUUGAAGUGCCUCAUUUACCAUAAUGAAAUUCCACCCAGCAUCUCUUCUGACCAAGGACCCACUUUAGAAGGAAAUAAGUAUAGCAAUGAGUUUAUACCCGUGGAAUUCAUUGGCCUUAUACAUACCUAUAGGUAUACAAAUGUAAGUAUACAUAUACUUAAUUCAUUGGUCUUAUACAUACGUGUUUAUCACUCCAAAGAAGUUGACCUAAUAUAGCAAUAGAAUAGCCAAUUAAUAACUUGGUCAUAACACUGAUGGGUGAAAACACCUUUACAGACAGGGGUGAUAUUCUGCAAGGUGCAGAGCAUGCUGUGAACCAACAUGUAAUGUAUACAAUAUAAUACCUUCUCAUAGGCAAAAUACAUAGAUUGGGAGCCAAAGGGAAGAUGUGAUAGUAACUUCUAUCACUGUUGCUCCUAAUGAUUCAGUAACAAUUCAGGUUUGCCUCCAUUCUUGCAAUUUGGGCUCUAUUUUGGCAGUCUUAGUUCCCAAAAGAAGGCCUCUUUUUCCAGACACGUUACAAGACUUCCAUUGAAUUAAAAACUUAUACUCUACUUGGCCCUUGGGCUACUUAUGCUACUGAACCAAUAAGCAGAAAAGGGAUUACUAUCCUGCACUUGCUGAGAUGAUGAUCUGAUUACCAAGUGGAACUAGAGUUGCCAGCAUGUAAUGGAACACCAAAAAUAAACUGUAAUAUAAACUGUG